CAACGUGCUCCGGGGUCGGUGUAAGUCCGAACCGGCGGUUAUAGUCCGCGACCCAAGCGUCAGGGAAUUCCUUGGAAUUUCCGAAACUUGGUUGAACUGGUGAAAUUCCGGUACCGACAGUUAAAGUCUGGAUGGGAGAAGCACGUAC
rnacentral:ncRNA from 1 species